rnacentral:rRNA from 1 species
UACGAGGGGGGCGAGCGUUGUUCGGAAUUAUUGGGCGUAAAGGGUGCGUAGGCGGCCUGACAAGUCUGAUGUGAAAUCCCUGGGCUCAACCCAGGGCCUGCAUCGGAAACUGUCGGGCUUGAGUAUGGGAGAGGUGAGUGGAAUUUCCGGUGUAGCGGUGGAAUGCGCAGAUAUCAGGAGGAACACCGGUGGCGAAGGCGGGUCUCUGGGCAGUAACUGACGCUGAGGAGCGAAAGCGUGGGGAGCGAACAGG